rnacentral:tRNA from 1 species
GCUUCCGUAGGCUAAUGGAUAAACCCUGGUGCUACGAACGCCAUAUUGUCGGUUCGAAUCCGGCCGGGAGCAC